UAAGAAAUAAAACAUGGGUUUCAUUUCACGUUUUCAUCGACAAAAUCAUUGUAGUACUUGACAAACAAAAAGGUCAUUCUUUCCAUGAAUUGCACUGUAGCUACUAACGAACAAAACAAACGAAUAAAAAAAAACAAAUAAAAAAACUAGAAAAAUAAAUGUACACAAAGGUUAAACAAUAAAGAUCUUUGUCCUCUUUCAUAUAAUAGCUCUCAUUAAUUAAUUAUACCUAAAAUACGAAAAUUUGGCCAAUCAUAUCAUAAAACAAUCAGAUGGGCCUACUGGGCCUGCUACACUGGGCCUGUCCAUUAGUAAAGACAAUAUUUUGGGCUUCCCAAGAGACAGCAUGGGAGAGACUUUAGAGAGCCAUCAUUAUUAUUUUUGGUGGCGCCCGCCGGCGAUGAUCGAGGCGGUAUUUUUU
rnacentral:lncRNA from 1 species